GGGCUCACUCCAGCAGCACAUACACUAAAACUGGAAUGAUACAGAGGAGAUUAGCAUGGUCCCUGUGCAAGGAUGACAUGCAAAUAUGGAGAAGUGUUCCAUAUUUUU
ensembl:snRNA U6 U6 spliceosomal RNA